rnacentral:rRNA from 1 species
AGUGAACGCUGGCGGUAGGCCUAACACAUGCAAGUCGAACGGCAGCACAGUAAGAGCUUGCUCUUACGGGUGGCGAGUGGCGGACGGGUGAGGAAUACAUCGGAAUCUACUUUUUCGUGGGGGAUAACGUAGGGAAACUUACGCUAAUACCGCAUACGACCUACGGGUGAAAGCAGGGGAUCUUCGGACCUUGCGCGAUUGAAUGAGCCGAUGUCGGAUUAGCUAGUUGGCGGGGUAAAGGCCCACCAAGGCGACGAUCCGUAGCUGGUCUGAGAGGAUGAUCAGGCACACUGGAACUGAGGCAAGGGCCAGACUCCUACGGGAGGCAGCAGUUGGGAAUCUUUGGCAAUGGGCGGAAGCCUGACGCAGGCAAUCCGGGUUGGGGAAGAAGGGCUUCGGGGUGGAAAACCCUUUUUGUUGGGAAGGAAAAAUGGCGGGUUAAUACCCCGCUGUUUGAAGGGAACCGAAAAAAAAGCCACGGCUAACUUCGUG